rnacentral:rRNA from 1 species
UACGGGGGGGGGCAAGCGUUGUUCGGAAUUACUGGGCGUAAAGGGCUCGUAGGCGGCCAACUAAGUCAGACGUGAAAUCCCUCAGCUUAACUGGGGAACUGCGUCUGAUACUGGAUGGCUUGGAUUCGGGAGAGGAAUGCGGAAUUCCAGGUGUAGCGGUGAAAUGCGUAGAUAUCUGGAGGAACACCGGUGGCGAAGGCGGGUCUCUGGGCAGUAACUGACGCUGAGGAGCGAAAGCGUGGGGAGCGAACAGG